AUUAAACCACGGGACCCCCCUUUUCGGCUUAUAAUGUUUUAUACUGCUCAGCACGAACGCUGCGGCGUGCCUAAUACAUGCAAGUCGCGUUACUUUUUUUAAUUUUUUUUCUCGCUGGUUAUCGUCUGACGGGUGAGUAACAUGGGGUAACUGCCUGUAGAUGGGGAUGACUCCGGGAAACCGGAGCUAAUUCCGAAUAACACUUUCGCUCGCGUGAGCGGCUGUUAAAAGACGGUUUCUGUUGUCACUUUCAGAUGGACCCGGGUUCCUUAGCUCGUUGGUGAGGUUACGGUUCACCAAGGCGACGAUGUGUAGCCGACCUGAGAGGGUGAUCGGUCACACUGGACUGAUACACGCCCAGACUCCUACGGGAGGCGGCAGUAGGGUAUCUUUCGCAAUGGACGAAAGUCUGACGGAGCCACGCCGUGUGAGUGAUGAAGGUUUUCGGAUCGUAAAACUCUGUUGUUGGGGAAGAACAUGUACGAGAGUAACUGCUCGUUCCUUGACGGUACCUAACCAGAAUUUCACGGCUAACUACGUGCCAGCAGCCGCGGUAAUACGUAGGUGGCAAGCGUUGUCCGGAAUUAUUGGGCGUAAAGCGCGCGCAGGCGGUUCCUUAAUUCUGAUGUGAAAGCCCACGGCUCAACCGUGGAGGGUCAUUGGAAACUGGGGAACUUGAGUGCAGAAUAGGAGAGGGGAAUUCCACGUGUGUGGUGAAAUGCGUAGAGAUGUGGAGGAACACCAGGGGAAGGCGUUUUUCUGGUCUGUACUGACGCUGAUGCGCGAAUGCGUGGGGCGCAAACAGGAUUUAUACCCUGGUGUCCACGCCGUUACGAUGAGUGCUUAGUGUUAGAGGGUUUCCGUCUUUAUUUUGCUCAAGCUCACGGACUACGACUGGCGAGCACGGCGCAAGGGUGAUACUCAAAGAAUUAUUAGGGGGCCCGCUCACGCCGGUCUAUCU
rnacentral:rRNA from 1 species